GCCACAGGCACAUAACGACAAAUCCACCACCAUCUCCUCCACUCUCUCACUCCUAUGAGGUCCGCGAUCUAACCAUUUCCCUACUCGGUCCGGUGCUUAUUUGCAUGUUGCGCUUUCUAAGCUUGCCUCGCGACCCUCGCUCGCCUAGUGCUCAUUUGCUUCAUGCCUUGCUCGCAUGUUUUACUCUCAACAUCUCAACAUCUUGAUUGUUU
rnacentral:misc_RNA from 1 species